UAGAUGUUUAAAUUUCGUCAACCCUGUGACUACCACUAAGUUUCCUCCGCGGAUCACCCAGCUCCCCGUUUAAACGGGCGGCCCCCCCCAGGAGACCCCCAAUCUGUAUCUAUAUGAAGCUUCUGAUUAAUACCAUAAAUAAAUCAAAACUUUCUUCCAUGGAUCUAUUGGUUCUGGCAGCCAUGAAUAAAGAACCCAACUGCAAGAAAUAAUGUGUGUUGCUUAAGUAAUUGAAUGAUUUAUCCAAUCAACGCACGUUGAUUGCGCCAGUAAUCUGGCGGGCGUGCAUGUUCGAGCGACCUUUCUACCCUCCAACAUGCCUCGGGGUUGGGACUCGAGAAAAUUCGCGUUCCUCAAAUUGAUUGGCGGUCACCCCCAGCUUCCAUGGCGGACUAGUAAAACCUUCCUUACUGGAAAUCCUCACGGCCACCCAGUGGAAACCCAACUUCUGAAUGUUGACCUCGGAUCAGGUAGGAAUACCCGCUGAACUUAAGCAUAUCAAACCCGGGAGGAAUAAGCAUAUCAAAAGGCCGGAGGAA
rnacentral:rRNA from 1 species